rnacentral:rRNA from 1 species
UGCGUAGGUGGGGCAAUUAGUCAGUGGUGAAAUCCUGCGGCUUAACCGUAGAACUGCCAUUGAUACUGUUGCCCUUGAGUAUAGUUGAAGUGGGCGGAAUAUGUAAUGUAGCGGUGAAAUGCAUAGAGAUUACAUAGAACACCAAUUGCGAAGGCAGCUCACUAAGCUAUCACUGACGCUGAGGCACGAAAGCGUGGGGAGCGAACAGGAUUAGAUACCCUGGUAGUCC